rnacentral:rRNA from 1 species
UACGUAGGGCGCAAGCGUUAUCCGGAAUUAUUGGGCGUAAAGAGCUCGUAGGCGGUUUGUCGCGUCUGCUGUGAAAUCUGGGGGCUCAACCCCCAGCCUGCAGUGGGUACGGGCAGACUAGAGUGCGGUAGGGGAGAUUGGAAUUCCUGGUGUAGCGGUGGAAUGCGCAGAUAUCAGGAGGAACACCGAUGGCGAAGGCAGAUCUCUGGGCCGUAACUGACGCUGAGGAGCGAAAGCAUGGGGAGCGAACAGG